AUGUCCAGCUGCGGUGCUUGUAUUUGUGGUGCGGCAGCCCCUCUGCUCCUUACCUCCUCAUUCGCCUCCGCACAGAGAGGUAUUUUUGUGGUCGCAUUUGUAUACCAGUUUUAGGAAGGCUUGGGACCUUUGAAACUUAGAUUCUGCAAAGGGCUCCUUAGAACCUUUACAGAAAACACCAGCAUACUUUGCCUCAAAAGAUGGGAUAAGUAAAGAUGGUUCUGGUGAUGGAAAUAAGAAAUCAGUGAGUGAGGGAAGCAAUGAGAAGUCAGGCUUUGGGAAUUCUGGGAAAGGUGGAACCAGCUGCGCUGUCCAAAAUGUGGUGACUUGUGCACGCAUGUAGAGACCUUCGUGUAUUUACAGCUACCUUGACAAGUAUGUUGUUGGCCAGUCAUUUGCUAAGAAGGUGCUUUCAGUUGCUGUGUACAAUCAUUAUAAGAGAAUAUAUAAUAAUAUCCCAGCUAAUUUGAGCCAGCAAGCAGAAGUUGAGAAGCAGACAUCAUUAACACCUAGAGAGUUAGAAAUAAGAAGAUGGGAGGAUGAACACAGAUUUACAAAAUUGCUUCAGAUUGCUGGAAUCAGCCCACAUGGUAAUGCUUUAGGAGCAUCAGUGCAGCAACAGGUAAAUCACAGAUACCUCAGGAAAAACCAGGAGGUGAAAUAUUGGAUUCUUCUCAUGAUGACACAAAACUUGAAAAAAGUAAUAUUUUGCUGCUCGGACCAACUGGGUCAGGUAAAAUCCUGCUGGCACAGAUUUUAGCUUAAAUGCCUUGAUGUCCCUUUUGCUAUCUGUGAUUGUACAACUUUGACUCGGGCUGGAUACGUAGGUGAAGGUAUUGCGUUUGUGAUUGCCAAACUGCUUCAAGAUGCCAAUUAUAACGUAGAAAAUGCACAAUAAAGAAUUAUCUUUCUGGAUGAAGUAGAUAAGAUUGGCACUGUGCCAGGCAUUCAUCAGUUACGGGACGUAGGUGAGAAGGCAUUCAGCAAGGUGUAUUAAAACUACUAGAAGACACAAUAGUCAAUGUUCCAGAAAAGAAUUCCCGAAAGCUACGUGGAGAAACUGUACAAGUUGACACGACAAACAUUCUGUUUGUUUCAUCUGGUGCUUUCAAUGGUUUAGACAGAAUCAUAAGCAGGAGGAAAAAUGAAAAGUAUCUUGGAUUUGGAACACCUUCUAAUCUGGGAAAAGGCAGAAGGGCUGCAGCUGCUGCAGACCUUGCUAAUUGAAGUGGAGAAUCAAAUACUCAUCAAGACAUUGAAGAAAAAGAUCGGUUAUUACAUCAUGUGGAAGCCAGAGAUCUCAUUGAAUUUGGCAUGAUUCCUGAGUUUGUGGGACAGUUGCCUGUGGUAGUUCCUUUGCAUAGUCUAGAUGAGAAAACAUUUGUACAAAUACUGACCGAGCCACGUAAUGCUGUUAUUCCUCAGCACCAGGCUUUAUUCAGCAUGGAUAAGUGUGAGCUGAAUGUUACUGAGGAUGCUGUGAAAGCUAUAGUCAGACUGGUACUAGAACGAAAAACAGGUGCACCGGGCCAGUGUUUGAAGUCCCUAAUUCUGGUAUCGUUUGUGUGGAGGUUGACGAGAAGUAGUAGGAAAAAAGGAACCAGGAUACAUUUGGGCUCCAACAAAAGAAUUCUCUGAAGAGGAGUAUGACUCGGGUUGAAGAAGAAGGAUGGCCUCGCCAAGCAGAUGCAGACAGCUAAACUGUCAGAUUCCUGUCCUGUAGAUAAAGCUUUUCCUCCUUCUUUUGUUUAGGAUCAUAACUGUCUCUGCAGUCUGAUAUUAAAGGAUUGGGAUCUGUCUUGGCUAUCAUACAUGGUCAGAGAAGCUUUUAGGAUAAGAAUCAGAUCAUGUAUAUUAUUGUAACAUCACAUUGAUUUAUACAGCGGACAUUAGGUGGACUUUAAUGAUACAUUGUUCAGAAAUGUACGUUAUUUUGGUUCAGUUUUUUAAAAAUAUGCUUUAACAAAAUUCUUAGGAAUUCUUUUAAGCAAUGCAGGUAUUGCAAUAACUGUGGGUUUUACAAUGUUACUCUACAAAUGGGAAAAUAAAUUCUUUAAAAGUGAAAAAAAUUUUUCCGUCUUAUUUCAUUCUGUAACAGUUGAUAUCAGGCUGUCCUUUUUAUAAUGCAGAGUGAGAACUUUCCCUACCAUGUUUGAUAAAUGUCCAGGUUCCAUUGCCAAGAAGGUGUUGUCCAAAAUGCCUGUUAAUUUUUAAAGAUGGAACUUCCACCCUUCCCUUGGUUUUAAGCGGUCAGACAUGGAAAUGGUGGGGAGACAAAAAUAUACAUGUGAAAUAAACUCAGCAUUUUAAUAAAGUAAAAAAAAAAAAAACUCUACUAAAAAAUAAAAAACUUACCUAGGCACCGUGGCACAAGCC